rnacentral:rRNA from 1 species
UACGUAGGGGGCAAGCGUUGUCCGGAAUCAUUGGGCGUAAAGAGCGCGUAGGCGGCCCAGUAAGUCCGCUCUGAAAGUCAGGGGCUCAACCCCUGGAUGCGGGUGGAUACUGCCGGGCUAGAGUCCGGAAGAGGCGAGUGGAACUCCUGGUGUAGCGGUGGAAUGCGCAGAUAUCAGGAAGAACACCAACGGCGAAGGCAGCUCGCUGGGACGGUACUGACGCUGAGACGCGAAAGCGUGGGGAGCAAACAGG